rnacentral:rRNA from 1 species
AGAGUUUGAUCCUGGCUCAGAACGAACGCUGGCGGCGUGCUUAACACAUGCAAGUCGCGUGCGCAGUUCGCGUAGCAAUACGUGGAUGGGCGCACGGCGCACGGGUGCGUAACACGUGGGCAAUCUGCCCUCCGAUGGGGAAUAACCCCGCGAAAGCGGGGCUAAUACCGCAUAACAUUCCCUUGCUACGGCCGAGGGAU